AAGAUCUUGAGAAUCAAUUCAUAUCUUACUAAAAUCUCUCUCUCUCUUUCACCCAUCAAAUUCGACCACCUCCUCUCUCCUUCAUCUCUCACUUCACCUCCAUUGACAACCAUUGAUGAACCUUCGGAGCUUCACAAAAUCACACCAAAAACACAAAUCACCCUCUAAAUCUUACACUAAACACUUCCACCUCCUUGAAUUCAAGAAGAUCUUCGGAGUUUGAUCUUCAAAGUUAGAGAGAGAAAGUUUGGUUUUGGGUGUAAGUUUGGACGAGCGAGGUAAAGGAGUAAGUUGCCCUUCCUAACAGGAGUUUGAGCUAAGUUGUUCAGGCUAAGCGAGAAGCGAGACUGGUCUGGUGCUGGUGGGGGAAACGUUUCAAUCGAUGUAUUUAUCUUACCGUUGAACCAUCAUGUUGAUAAAGCUUUAUUAAUAAUUGAGAUACCUUGUGUUCUUUUGAAAUUAAGCAAUAUACUCGCGGUUAUAUGUCUUCAUACAUAUGUCUUCAUACAUAUAACCGAUUCGCCUUUUGCUGCGAUACUCUGCAUAUUAUGAUUCCUUAUGAAAAAUGAGCUAUAGCC